CAACUCCAAAACCUGGUAAGUCUCUCGCAAAACCUGAAUUUAGAUGAAUGGACUUCAAACGAAAGGAUUUUCUUACAAAAGCUAAAAAAAUAUAACGGCAUGGUGAGAAUGGGAAAAUGAAAAUAGAAAGCAAAAGAAAAAGUUUCCAUCCGAUAAGACAAGUACAAAAUAAUCCAAGUUCUUAUUUGCCAUGCCAAUAUUAUUCAUGAAGAACUAAUCUGAUUUCUUUUCCAGAUAAGGUUAGUAACAAUUAAUCUGUAAAUAACUGAACCAACUUGGUUACUACGACAUUACUCUUUCGCUUCCGCACUCAUUUUCUGCACAGUUGCGGUUCAUCAACGGCCGCGUUCACCAAAACGAGUUCACUCUCCCCACUUCACUUAUUUCCCCACCGUUAUGUCUCUCCAAGUGCAGCAGCAAGACAUGAACUCCUAUCAUUAUAAGCAAUAUAAAAAGCCCUCCUAAAAAUCCACCACCUGUUUGGCCAGAGAAACUCCAUUACUCAUUUCCACACUCUCAAUUUUCAGCCCUUUCAUCAAACAAAAGCAUUACUUACCCAUGUUUAGACAUAACUGACUUCAGCACAUAAAUUACGACAAGCUGGUCAAUUCACGUAAACAAGGAAAAAUUAACUCAAUCAAGUGAAGUAGGCACAAAAUGACCUCAAUGAGACAUCAGAGACCUCUAAAAUCAAAUCAAAUUCAGUUAAACAAAGAAUCACUGAUCAAAGAUAAGCAAAAGAAAAAAAGCAAUGAAUAACAGAAAGAAAUUUCUUAUAAAAAUUCAAUAAAAUUAAAAAAAAAAGCUAAUCAUCUUUUCUGGUUAAGUGAUUUCGUCAGCAAAUAAGAGAAAAUAGAAAUUCUGGAAUAUACCUAGGGUUUCUAGCUUUGGGAAUUUACCUAAUGAGAAAUCAGUCUCUCUGUUUCUAGAUUUGUAACUAUCAUGGCCGAGCGACCACGAUCAGGUGAGAUAAUCGGAUUUUGCACCGGCGACGAUGCAAAUGUUUGGGUUUGGGGUUGGGUUUCGGUUUGACGAUAGACCAAGGAAUGUUAGGGCUUUGGGUGAUUUAAGGAUUUUAUUUAAUUCAAGUAAAGUGAAAAUAAUUGAAGUACCCCUAAGUUGGUUACGC
rnacentral:lncRNA from 1 species